AAGGGAGCUGUCGGGCGGUGGAGGGUUUUCCAUCCUCUUCCUCUGCCUGGGAUGGCUCCACGCCGAGCUGUCCUGGCCGAGAGGGAAAAUGCAGCGCGCAGCUGGUGGCGCAGGUCGAGCCUAGGUGAAACUGGGCCCUGGGCACGAGGCGCCCGCCCGCGCUGCGUCCCCGCACCGCUCGCCCUCUCUCCUGGGUCCGUCGUUUCCAGCAGCUGCUCUCCAAGAAGGGAGGUCGACGGCCAAAAACAAGAGCACUGAGUUCUGGAGGACGAGUUGCCGCCCCGACACGACUCUGAGCGAGGACGGAGAGACUGCGCUGCACUACCUUUGCCUCUUCUUUUCAGGAAUCUCCCCUUUUUCCAGCUACCACCAACACCAUUGGACUAUGCUGAAUUCUGGCAACCAUAUCCAAAAGGAGUGGAUUAUUCUAAGUGAGCCACGUUACAGGAAGCCAGCGUCAGGAACCCCAGCUCCAAAUGGGCCACGGUGUCAGAUUUCUGCAGGUGGCCUGACCUGGUCACCAUCUCCUCAGAAACACCAAAGGACCCAGCACCUCCCCUGAAUAACGAGGAGAACUCAAGCACAGGAACUGGGUGCCUUGAACAAAACUAUCUCAGAGGUAGCCAUUGAACAAGAAUUGUUGGUUUCUCUGUGUUGAGUGUUGAAUGACUUGAAGAAGAUAUUUUAUGACCCUAAC
rnacentral:lncRNA from 1 species